CUCCGACUCAGAGAGUUUGAUCCUGGCUCAGAGCGAACGCUGGCGGCAGGCCUAACACAUGCAAGUCGAACGAACCCUUCGGGGUUAGUGGCGGACGGGUGAGUAACACGUGGGAACGUACCUUUAGGUUCGGAACAACACAGGGAAACUUGUGCUAAUGCCGAAUGUGCCCUUCGGGGGAAAGAUUUAUCGCCUUUAGAGCGGCCCGCGUCUGAUUAGCUUGUUGGUGAGGUAAAGGCUCACCAAGGCUACGAUCAGUAGCUGGUCUGAGAGGAUGAUCAGCCACACUGGGACUGAGACACGGCCCAGACUCCUACGGGAGGCAGCAGUGGGGAAUCUUGCGCAAUGGGCGAAAGCCUGACGCAGCCAUACCGCGUGAAUGAUGAAGGUCUUAGGAUUGUAAAAUUCUUUCACCGGGGAAGAUAAUGACGGUACCCGGAGAAGAAGCCCCGGCUAACUUCGUG
rnacentral:rRNA from 1 species